rnacentral:rRNA from 1 species
UCCAGUUUAUCCUGCUGGAGGUUGCUGCUAUUUGGUUCGAACUUAGGCAUGCAAGUCUGACGCAAGUCGGCAAACUGCUCAGAAACACGUAGUUAAUCUGCCCUUGGGUCGAGGAUAACCUCGGGAAACUGAGGCUAAUACUCGAUAGAGGUUUUUCGCUGGAAAGCUAUAACCUUGAAACUUGUGCCCAAGGAUGAGACUGCGGCUGAUUAGCUUGUUGGUGGGGUAACUGCCUACCAAGGCGACGAUCAGUAAGGGCCCUUAGCGGGGUCGCCCUGAGAAGGAAUCUGAGACACUAUUCCUAGCCCUACGGGGUGCAGCAGCUAUGAAUUUUUUACAAUGCACGCAAGUGUGAUAGAGCGAACCAAAGUGUUUACCUUUUUUGGUAAACUUUUGUCUACUGUAAAUAUGUAGACGAAUAAGGACUGGGAAAGACCGGUGCCAGCCGCCGCGGUAAUACCGGCAGUUCAAGUUGCAACCAACAUUAUUGGGUCUAAAACAUCCGUAGCUUGCCAAGUAAGUUCUUGUGAAAUCUCACGUCUUAAGCGUGGGGCGGGCAGGAAAUACUACUUGACUAGAGACCGGUAGACGUAAGGAGUACGGAAGAGGUAGCGGUUAAAUGUGUUAAUCUCUUCUGGACUAACAAUCAGCGAAGGCACCUUACGAGGACGGAUCUGACAGUGAGGGAUGAAGGCCAGGGGCGCAAAACGGAUUAGAUACCCGUGUAGUCCUGGCAGUAAACACUGCUCACUAAACAUCGGGACCUCUUCGGGAGGUUUCGGUGCUGAAGCGAAGGCAAAGAGUGAGCUACCUGGGAAGUAUAGUCGCAAGGUCGAAACUUAAAGGAAUUGGCGGGGAGACACUACAACGAGUGACGCGUGCGGUUCAAUUAGAUUUUACACCGUGAACCUCACCAGGAGCGACAGCAGGAUGAAGGUCAGUCUAAAGGGCUUACCUGACACGCUGAGCGGGGAUGCAUGGCCGACGUCAGCCUGUGCUGUGAAGUGACCUGUUAAAUCAGGUAACAGGCGAGACCCAUGUGCAUAAUUACUACAGAAAUGGGAACAUUAUGCAGACUGCUCUGGUAACAGAGAGGAAGGUAUGGGCUACGUUAGGUGAGUACGUCCCUAAUCCCCUGGGCUACACGCGCGCGGCAAUGGUGGACGCAAUGGGCUGCGACUCCGAAAGGAGAAGCUAAUCCCCUAAUGUUCAUCUCAGUCCAGAUCGAGGCUUGCAACCCAGCCUCGUGACGCCGGAAUUCGUAGUAAUCGGAUGUUAGCAGCGUCCGGUGAAUAUGUCCCUGUCUCUUGCACACACCGCCCGUCAAACCAACCGAGUUAUGCGGAGUUGAAACUCGUCUGAGGAGAAAUUUUGUAUGACAAGGUAGGUUAAGUCGACACAAGGU